UUGACAAAUUGGAGAGGAAUUAAUUUUGAAAGUAGAUAUACGUAUAUGCGUUUCAUGAAAAUCAAGUAUUACUAUAAUCUAUAACGUUUAUAAUUUGUUCUUUGAAUAAUUUAUAUAUUGGUUUUGAAUUUGGCUAUAUAUAUAUAUCACUGUUUUGACUAUAUAUAUAUCGCAUCAUGGCGCUUGCAUCGAUGCUUCUACCCUAAGCUGACAAGUAAACAAUAAAUACGUGUACGGUCCAUUGCGAUGAUACCAAAGUGUGACGCAGAGUGUCGAAAUGCGUAUAUCAUCUGUAGUAUUUUAUUAUAUCUGAGAUUUCGUAUUUGAUUAAUAUCAUUGAUAUUUGUGCUUUCAUAACAAGUUUGUUAUAUCACAAAAGAUUAUAUUAAGAGUGUCUGUAUCUAACCCGUUUGAGGAAUCAUAAGUGCCAAAAAUAAAAAUACGAGAGAAGAAAAAAUA